AUCUAACGUAGAUCGUUAAAAUCGUAGAGUAAGUGGAAAGAAGGAAAUUUAUUUCAUAAGAUAAUUUUAAAAGUUUUAAUCUCUAAAAGUUCGGAGUAUUUUUUUUUUUUUUCUACGGUGACACGAAAUUUAAUACGUAAUCGGCGUCGGAAAGUUUAUAUAUACGAAUCACUUUAUCUGUAUAUAUGUUAUUAAUCCUAAAUACGAUUGCGAACGUUCGUAGCAAUUGAUGAUACUCGUUAUAUUCUUGCUUUCACUUCGUUGAAACUAAAAUUUCCCUUUUUAGUCGAUCUUUUCGGUAAUUAAGCGUUAAAAAAAGAAAAGAAAAAAAAAAAAAAAGAUAAAAAAAGCAAAAAAAGGAAAAUAGAGAAAGCCUUCUAAUAUAAAGUAAUUACGAGUUACGUCGUUGGUAACGAUCUGUACGAUAAAAUGCUUGCUCUACUGAGCAUUCACUGAAUUCACUGAAACUUUGAUAAACGUAUGUCUUCUCGAGAGCGAUCGGUGAUUAUCGGAAAAAAUAAUCAAUCGAAUUCGAUCGCGUUCGUCGCGAUACGUAAUACGAACGGUAAACGAAGGGUAUCUGUUACGGUAGCUGUUAUAUGCUCGAUUUAACUCAGAGAUAAUAUUUUUUUUUAUCGCGAAUGCAAUGCUAUAGCAUAGAUUACUGAUAAUAAAUAGCAUGUGACUUUCAACAUUUAGGUCAACAUCGUGUAAAAAGUCUUUUCCCGAGGUUCUUCGAUGAUUCGAUUAAAUUCGUGAAAUCAAAGAAAUAUGCGAGUAAGAGAUAGACGAAUGGAGAGUGGAGGUGAGGGAUAAAGAGAGAGAGAGACAGAGAAAGAGAGAGAGAGAGAGAGAGAGAGAGAGAGAGAGCGAGAGAGCGUAAGAGAACAUUGACUUUAUCAUAAAUUAAGGACGAUCGAUUCUCUUACCGGCUCGGUAACUUGAUCUGAAAAUUGGACCCUCUGCUGUGCGGCAUUGAACAUCUUUCGAUGCGCUCGCUUAAACUCUUCCAUUAACUGAAACAGAUAAUAUGAGCGAAGAUAAAAUAAGGAAAAUAGGAAAAGCAAGCGUUUCACGAAUGAUUUACUUGUUAAAUCUACCGUGUCGAUCGGCUCUCUUCAUUUUUGUUUCUUUUAUAUCAUAGGAAAGUUUUAAUUUGAUUUAAACAAUAUAAGAAACUAACCUUGUCGUGGGUCACUUUUUGUUCUUGCGCCCUAAGUGCUUCUGGAUUUGGUACUUUCCGAGGUUCAGAUGUUUUGUCCUUCGAAGCUUCCGCCUUAGCUGCGUUCAUACUUCUCUAAAUAAGAAAAAAAAAAAAAAAAAAAAAAAAAAAAAAAAAAAAAAGAAAAAAAAAGGAAGAAAACAAAGAAAAAGAAAAUGCAUAUAAACGAUAUAUACAUAGAUUUAUCAAGGAUUUUUCAUCGAUUUGCAUCUCUGUGUCUACCUACGCAAAAUCAUGAACGAUAAGUCAUGCUCGAACUCACGAAAAGAGUAUGUUAACAUUUGUGAAAUUCCGCAUACCAAACGUACACUUACUACGGUAAGAGUCGCUCGUAAAACCAUCGUACGAUCGAUGUUUACAACAACGUUGGGUCUCUAAUCCUCGAUUUAUAUGCUUCGUACAUAUACAUGUACAUAUAUAUAUGAAUCGAAAAAAGAGAUAAGGCAAUGCGUAAGAAUACGGCGUGGCUGUGGAAAGAAAUAACCGACAUUUUCUUUACACUUCAUUAGAAUGUGAUUUGUUUCGAAAUGCUAAUAACGACGUAACGUUGAACGGAUUGCGAGGCAUCCUUGCCUUUCCCUCCUUUUCUAUCGCUGCCUACUCCUUCGAUCAGUACAAGGGAAACGUUGAAUCUUCGUAGGAAAUCGAAGGAGAAUGUCAGUUCCUACUUCAUCAUAAGGAAAGAGCGGGAGAGAGAGAGAGAGAGAGAUAAAGAAAUAGAUAGAUAGAUAGAUAAAUAGAUAGAUAGAGAGUUAGUAUCAACGUAAUAAUCGAACCGACGGAAUUUCCCUUAUUACGAUAUUUGUUUUUUUUCGAUCUCUGACUUGGAUCGAACCCGUAAAUGGUGAGUCUCUGUCGUCGCCGUCAUCAUCAUCAUCAUCAUCAUCAUCAUCAUCAUCAUCAUCAUCAUCAUCAUCAUCAUCAUCAUCAUCGUCAUCGUCAUCGUCAUCGUCAUCGUCAUCGUAGUCAUAGUCGUAGUCAUAGUCAUCGUCGUUGUCGUAUCUUUUUCUAUUUCUCUUAAUUAAAAGCUGGAUAAUGAUCGGAAUAAUCGGAGGAGACGUUGAGUACCUGUUGAGCUCGCCUUUGUAAUUCUUGAGUUAUGGCAGUGCUUAGAUCUGUGCUGGCUAUAGGCGAUGUUCGUAAAUUCGAUCCACGCGUAGUAAUUGACGGGCUUUCAUUGGUCUUGUUUGAUCCAGUGGAUGCGGCAGUGGUUGAACCAAAGGAAAUAGUAGAAGAAGGUGGCUCGCAGGACGACGUGGACAAAGACGAGGAAGUUGAUGCUGAAUCCUUGCUGCAGGAAGACUCAAGACUGGAUUCGGUUUCCGUUGAUCCUGUGCUACCCAUCGACAUUGUGCUACCCAUUUGCAUUCCCAUCGCGUUCAUAGGCUUAGCGUCUGUCGAAAUAAUAAAAAGGAAAGGAUAACGUAACGUUCGAGUCUUCUUAUUAAUUUUUUACACUUUCUAACGCGAGUUUUGAUAUACGUAAUAUGUUAGGUUUCUAGCAUAGACUUUUUUUCUUUCCAUACACAUGUAUCCAUAUAUUUAUAUAGGUUAUUUAUAAAUCAACAUAGCUCGUAACAAACCUGCUGGCCAUUUAUAUGGAAGAGGUGGUGGAGGAGCCGGAGGACAAAUGGAUUGAUGAACCUCCACAGUCGUUAUCGUCUUCCUCUCCGUUUCGGUCUGUCUCUGUACCAAUUGCAGUUCUGCCAAUCGAUUAACAUCGUGCUGCUCGUUUUCCUAGAAAAAAGAUGUAGAAAAACGAAAGGAAGAGAGUUAACGGAAAGAAUUAUAAGGUUCAUCCAACCUGAACGGUGAGGCCAGGUACGAUGCCUCGGCAAACACCACAGCCAAGGCGACCUUUCUCACCGACGAGUAUUCGGAUUCUAACUUCACUGUUUGGAACGGCUCCCACACCAGUCUCGUUGUACUGCAGCUGUUGUUGCUGCUGUUGCACCAUGUGCCAGCACAAGGACCUGCUGAUUUUUCACCAAAAGUGCUACUUCCUGAUGCACGGCAUCUUCAACCGGAUAUCCAUUUACCCUGAGGAUUUGAUCUCCUACCUAUAACGAACAAGUACAAGUCAGUUGAAUAUAAAUUGAAAAUAAAUCUUGUUCUUAAUGUCAUCGAUUUAAUUUGACCGACCCUUAAUCCAUUUCUAUGAGCUUCGCCACCAGGUUGAACAUUACUGAUGUAAAAUCCAGCCGCGUAUUCUCUACCACCUCUCAAUGAAAAGCCGAAACCGGAUGCACCUCGACGUCUCAAUCUAACGUUCCUGGUAACACCGAUGACGGCCAUUCUGCCGCCUCCCACCGGAUUUCCAGGACCUGCACCGUUCGAUGAUCCCGUUCCAGCACUAGACGCGCUGGAUGAGCCACCGGAUCUGUAAACAUCGAAGGAUGCCUGGAUAUUGCCUGUUCUUACAUCACAAACUUUUGUCAAACAUGGAAAAGAAGAAACGUGUAUAGAUUUUCGUAGGAUAUAAAUAUAUAUCCAUAACCAAAAUGGACAGGUAAUUAAUCUCAACUUUUUCUUCAUAGAGUAUUGCAUAAAAGAGACUUUACUUUCUCAUCAUAGUUUUUCCAGUACGAUGGUACUUUGUGAAAUCGUGUGUGAAACUCCCUUGUAAUAAUAAUAAUUAUAAUAAUAAUAAUAAUUAUUAUUAUUAUGGAGCAAAACGAUGACAAAGAGAACGACGAAUUGUCGUGAUAUUCACAGAAACUCGUAGAAAGUUAGCGUAGGUAUUAUUCUGUUUCUGUAUACCUUUCGCAGGCGGUUGGCGGUACGACCGCACGUUACUUACAUUUCCGAUUGAUUUCCGACCUUUCCUCUAUGCCCAUGAACACUCCGGAUGGUGAAUUCUCUAUUACUAUAUCUAUAUAUGUAAUACACGAUCAAAUUUCAUCGUAUUUCCUACCUGUAAGCGUGUCCCUCAUAUUUGCGGAUAGAUAGCAAGAUCGUAUUUCCGCGUAACUAAAGUCAUUAAAUGCGCGGCCGUGUGUCAUGCUCUGCUUAUCGUUAUGUUUUAAGUAGAUACUUAGAACACAAUCAAAUAGUACUAUUACGUAUUUCUUAUCUUUAGUUUAACUUUAGUCAACCACCAUUAUCUCAUUGCACGUUUCCGUGUGUUCAAGAAUUUUUAAGUUUUCGAUAAGGUCAAAAAGAAGUAAAGAAAAAAAAGAACAAAAAAAAAACGAAAUAAAAAAAAAGAAAUUGAAGAAUGACUUAUAAU